CAAGACCCUAACUAACUCAACACCUCCCCCCAAACCCAAAUGCAAUGGACGUGUGUGCCGAUUUCCCCGUGGGGAGGCCCUGCUGGCUGCUGGGGGACCGUGGAUGUGAGAGAUGGAGAGAAAGCAGGGAGUGCCCAGUUGUGGCCUCAGUGGCCAGAGAAGUCAAGCCGUUGGCUGCUGCCUCAGGAGCACACGUGCAGGGCAAGAC
rnacentral:lncRNA from 10 species